UACGGGGGGGGGCAAGCGUUGUUCGGAAUUACUGGGCGUAAAGGGUUCGUAGGUGGCCAACUAAGUCAGACGUGAAAUCCCUCAGCUUAACUGGGGAACUGCGUCUGAUACUGGUCGGCUUGAGUGCAGGAGAGGAACGCGGAAUUCCAGGUGUAGCGGUGAAAUGCGUAGAUAUCAGGAGGAACACCGGUGGCGAAGGCGGCUUUCUGGACAGAAACUGACGCUGAGGCGCGAAAGCUAGGGGGAGCAAACAGG
rnacentral:rRNA from 1 species